CUACGGGUCGCUGCAGUGGGGAAUAUUGCACAAUGGACGAAAGUCUGAUGCAGCAACGCCGCGUGGAGGAUGACACAUUUCGGUGCGUAAACUCCUUUUAUAUAGGAAGAUAAUGACGGUACUAUAUGAAUAAGCACCGGCUAACUCCGUGCCAGCAGCCGCGGUAAUACGGAGGGUGCAAGCGUUACUCGGAAUCACUGGGCGUAAAGAGCGUGUAGGCGGGUAGUUAAGUCAGAAGUGAAAUCCAAUAGCUCAACUAUUGAACUGCUUUUGAAACUGAUUACCUAGAAUAUGAGAGAGGUAGAUGGAAUUUCUGGUGUAGGGGUAAAAUCCGUAGAGAUCAGAAGGAAUACCGAUUGCGAAGGCGAUCUACUGGAACAUUAUUGACGCUGAGACGCGAAAGCGUGGGGAGCAAACAGGAUUAGAUACCCUUGUAGUC
rnacentral:rRNA from 1 species